rnacentral:rRNA from 1 species
GUGCCUAACACAUGCAAGUCGUGCGGGAAAGCGGGGGCACUCUGCAAGUACAGCGGCGCACGGGUGAGUAACACGUAGGUACCUACCUCCGAGACUGGGAUAACCUGUCGAAAGACGGGCUAAUACCAGAUAAGACCACCGAGGUUGCGGCUUCGGCGGUAAAAGACGGCCUCUGCUUGCAAGCUAUCACUUGGAGAUGGGCCUGCGCGCCAUUAGCUAGUUGGAGGGGUAAAAGCCCACCAAGGCGGAGAUGGCUAGCUGGUCUGAGAGGAUGGCCAGCCACACUGGGACUGAGACACGGCCCAG